rnacentral:rRNA from 1 species
GACGAACGCUGGCGGCGUGCUUAACACAUGCAAGUCGAACGGAAAGGCCCGGCGUUUGUGGGGUGCUCGAGUGGCGAACGGGUGAGUAACACGUGAGUAACCUGCACCUGACUGUGGGAUAACUUUAGGAAACUGGGGCGAAUACCGCAUAGGAGCUCCUGCUGCACGGUGGUGGUUGGAAAGUUUCGGCGGUUGGGGAUGGAUUCGAGGGUUAUGAGCUGCAUGGUGGGGUAGUGGCGUACAAAGGCUGUGACGGGUAGCCCGCGUGAGAGGGUGACCGGGCACCUUGGGCCUGCGAUACGGCGCAGACUCCUACCGGCGGCAGUAGUCGGGAGCCUUGCAGAGUGGGCCGACGCGUGAUGCAGAAACCUCGCGUGCGGGAUACCGGGCUUCGGGUUGUAAACCGCUUUGGAAUGUGCUGAAGCCUGCGUGACGGUAAUGGGUAAAGAAGCCCCGGCUAACUACGUG